AGCAGCCGCGGUAAUUCCAGCUCCAAUAGCGUAUAUUAAAGUUGCUGCAGUUAAAAAGCUCGUAGUUGAAUUUCGGGACUAUCAUGUCGGUCGUGCCUCGGUACGUACUGGCAUUGUUGGUUUCUCCCUUCUGACGAACCAUGAUGUCAUUUAUUUGGUGUUGUGGGAAAUCAGGACUGUUACUUUGAAAAAAUUAGAGUGUUUAAAGCAGGCUCACGCUUGAAUACAUUAGCAUGGAAUAAUGAAAUAGGACGUUUGAUUCUAUUUUGUUGGUUUCUAGGAUCGACUUAAUGAUUAAUAGGGAUAGUUGGGGGCAUUAGUAUUCAAUUGUCAGAGGUGAAAUUCUUGGAUUUAUUGAAGACUAACUACUGCGAAAGCAUUUGCCAAGGAUGUUUUCAUUAAUCAAGAACGAAAGUUAGGGGAUCGAAGACGAUCAGAUACCGUCGUAGUCUUAACCAUAAACUAUGCCGACUAGGGAUCGGAUGAUGUAAUUUUUAAUGA
rnacentral:rRNA from 1 species